rnacentral:snoRNA from 10 species
ACUGCCCCUGGAGGCAUUGCAGAUGUGGCUGCUGUGUCACAUUUGUGUCAUUAGGUAGCAGCGAUUAGAGAGGCUAUGUCUAUGCUCAGCGUUCUGUCCCAUGAACAUUUGAAUGUUUAAUAGUCUGACUCU